UGGGGAAUAUUGGACAAUGGGCGAAAGCCUGAUCCAGCCAUGCCGCGUGAGUGACGAAGGCCUUAGGGUUGUAAAACUCUUUCGUCGGGGACGAUAAUGACGGUACCCGAAGAAGAAGCUCCGGCUAACUUCGUGCCAGCAGCCGCGGUAAUACGAAGGGAGCUAGCGUUGUUCGGAAUCACUGGGCGUAAAGCGCACGUAGGCGGAUAGUUAAGUCAGGGGUGAAAUCCUGGGGCUCAACCCCAGAACUGCCUUUGAUACUGGCUGUCUCGAGGUCGAGAGAGGUUGGUGGAAUUCCUAGUGUAGAGGUGAAAUUCGUAGAUAUUAGGAAGAACACCAGUGGCGAAGGCGGCCAACUGGCUCGAUACUGACGCUGAGGUGCGAAAGCGUGUGGAGCAAACAGGAUUAGAUACCCCCGUAGUCCCUGAGCGGGCUGGCAAGGCGCAU
rnacentral:rRNA from 1 species